GAGAGAGAGAGAGACGACUCGCGCGAAAACGCGGUUGGGUGGUUGUAUUGUGAAACAAUAUUGUGAAGCCUCGCUCGUAUUCUAAAGUAUUUAGUUUAAACUCGAAGUAAACAGUUAACGCUUAGACCGUGCGCGUAGGUGGGGCGUUGGUCCUCGCACGCAUACACGGCGUUGUAAGAUUUAACCAAGAAAUGUUUCCUACCAAAUGAAAACGAGUUCUCUUUAUAUCACCGCGGAUAACGACUCGUGGCUCUAACGAAGAAGAAGAAGAAGAAAGAAGAAGCAGAAGAAGAAGAAGAAGAAGAAGAAGAAGAAAAGAAGAAGAAGAAGAAGAAAAAGAAGAAGAAGAAGAAGAAGAAAGGAGAAGGAAAUAAAUAAACGAAAAUAUGGCCGACGGAAGCUUUUCCCUGUUCGUCGAUGAACGCUGUCUAGGCGAAUCUAUCCCGUUAAAUGUAAUUUACUAUUACGAUCAUACGUUACGCUAUACCCAAAAUGGAGACAGAAUUUUAUUUACCAAAUACGAGUUUUUUAAUAAAAAAAAAAAAACACUUUUUUGUGAAGGAAA